AUGUCAGAGAGCAUCGUUAGGAAGGUACAACCCUUCACCAUCGGAACCAGGCUCUCCGUCUCUGGACCUUCCACCAGGUCUAAAGGUCCAAACUUCCCCCAGCAGCCGUCCUGGCAGAGCGACCGGGUCUCCCUCUACCUCAGCCAGGUGCAGGUGAGUGUGGCUACUCCUCAUCUAGCUCCCCUUGCUAACCGGACCACCCCAACAUCUGUACCUGUUAAACAGCAGCAGGAGGACAUAUCUACCCAGGACCACCGGAACCAGAAUACCAUGUCUGUGUCUCCCAACUCCCACCGGAGCUCUGUCUCUCCUACCGCCACUUCCAGAUCCAUCAGCAAGAUCACCAUCUCUGGGAGCCCAGAGGACAGCUCCUGGAGGAGACAGGAGGAGUCAGACCACAGGGUGGUUAUUGAGAAGGAGGACAGCUCCUGGAGGAGACAGGAGGAGUCAGACCACAGGGUGGUCAUUGAGAAGGAGGACAGCUCCUGGAGGAGACAGGAGGAGUCAGACCACAGGGUGGUCAUUGAGAAGGAGGACAGCUCCUGGAGGAGACAGGAGGAGUCAGACCACAGGGUGGUCAUUGAGAAGGAGGACAGCUCCUGGAGGACACAGGAGGAGUCAGACCACAGGGUGGUCAGUAUAGGACCAGGACCGGGACGACCCCCUGUCACAGGAACUCCCGGAUCAGAAAACAUCAACAACAACAACAACAACAUCAGCAGCUCCAAGCAACAGCUGCCCAGAAUAGUGGGAGUCAGCUGUGAGAACCAACCCAGCUCACAUAUUAAGGACCAUGGCAGCAUGUUUGGGUUCCUACAGACAUUGGGGCCCAGAGCAAGGUCCCCAAGGAAAGACAGAGAUGCUGAGACAGUAGUGGUAGCCCAGAAUGACAGCUACACCCAACGCACUUCCCUCUUUAACCAGGAAGUACUACAGGAGGGUAGAGGGUUAAUCAGAGCCCAGCACCCCGGCAACUCUAAGAUCCAGGACUUCUUGAUUCGGCUGGAGGAGUUAUGGGAGGAGCUAAGGAGACGACAUCACAGGAACCAGGUCUACCUGCAGGCAGGGGAGGAGAUGAGCUUUAGGACAGUACAUCUCCUCCAGGCCUUGGGUAGUAUAGAAGCCUGGUUGGAGGCAGCAGAGCUGUCCAUGUCGAACUCCCAGUUGGCAGUAGACCCAGAGACCAUGAGGCUGGCUGAGAGAGACAGCUGCCUGCUCCAGACAGAGAUGUCCUGCCGGGGAAUGGAGCUAACAGCACUCAGACAGGAGAUGGACAGGCUGGGUGGUCAGCGGGAGGGUCAGUGCCCAGGAUACCCCAACACUGAGGGCCUUCAGGUGCCACAACACCACACACAGGUCCUCCCAGAUCUUAUGGACCAGGUGGAGAGAAAGUACCAACGUGUCCAGACCGCGUUGACCCAGCAGAGUUCGUCGCUGCAGGACACCAGGAUGCUGACAGAGUUUCUGGAGCGGGUGGAGCUAGAGGAGAGGGUGGAGCUAGAGGAGACCCAGAAGGCCAGGGGGAGGGGCUACAGCAGUAACCUUGGACAGCCUCUCCACGGUGAGAUCAGCUCAGCUCUUACCCUGCUGGGUGAUGGGUGUGGAAGCGGUGGUGGGGAGCCAAUGAUGGAGCCGCUGGGAAACCCUGUAGAGGAGCUGCAGGAGGCAGUGGAGAUGUUGAAUGACACGGUCAGAGAGAGAGGACGAUCACAGAAUCACAUCCAUGAUCAAGCCAUCCAGACUAUGAUCCGACAGCUGGCUGUGCUGUCAGUGCGUGUGGAGGACAGUCUGUGCUGCAGUAGAAAGCUGAACCAGGAACUCCUACAGAGAGAGAAAGACAUGGCCAUGCGCUGUGAACCAGAACAAUGUGGACUAGAGGGACUGAAGGAACAGCAAGAAAACCUAGAGGUGAAUUAUGCUGUGCUGAAGGAAGAGGUGGAGGAGCUCCAGAGACAGACUGGUUAUCUGGAGGAGCUAUGCCCAGAGAGAGUGACCUUCCUGGCGGUGGAGGUGCAGGGAGCCCUGGGGGUAUGGAGGGAAUUGAGGAGGAACGUAGAGGGGAACAGAGACAGAUUACGACAGUUUGUUCACCUGCAGGACUUCUUCAGGACCUACCUGGCCAUGAUAUCGUGGAUGGAGGACACCCGGGAGUGUAUUUUCUCUGAGAGAGUGUUGCAUUGUGGGAGGGACGACCAGGAGCCAAUGGCUGCGGUGAUGGAGAUGGACGUCCAGAUAGACAGAAAGUUGGAGGAGUUGGAGGAGAUGGAUGCUGCAGGGAGGAACCUGCUGAACGCUGAGCACCACCUGGCCAACAUGGACAACAACAUGACAUCAGCUCCUGCAUACGAGAGUAUUUUACUGCCCCGCCUCCACACCAAGACCUCCUCCUCUUCAUCCCCCUCCUCCUCCUCCGGGGCUCCUCAAUCUUGCGUCUCUUUCUCCUCCUCCCUGCCCAAGAACACCUCCAUCUUCUCUAGUCUGAAGAUAAGGAGCAAGAAGAGGAGAAGGAAGAGAGACGCUGGCCGCCACACCAUUCAGAAAAUCAUGGUUGUAGAGGGGGAGGAGCAGACAGAGGUGGCAUGUCCUGCUGAAGCUGCACCCCAGCAAAUCACGCUGUACGACACCCAGACCUGGCCAAUGAAGGAGGGCCGGAGGAAGAAGAAGAGCCUAUUAAAGGCCGAGGGGGUGGGGCCAGGGCAGGGGGUGGAACUCGUGGACUACAUGGAUAACCCAUUGGCCAGGGAUAUUGAAGAUGAAUGUUCUGGGGUCUCCACUGUCAGCCCCUAUGCAGUGACAGAGGCAGUCUCUAUAGCUCCACCCAGGGGCCAGGUGAGGAGCCACUGCAGGUUCCUGUCUCUGGGGUCUGUUUUGACCUUCGACCUCUCCAAAGACAUGAGGUUGAUCCCCAGUAUACAGGAUGUCAUCACUAUAGGACUCCCAGAACACAGGGGAACCCCCAACCCAAACCUCAAUCCCAACCCUCACACAGAGACACAUGCAGCCCUCAGCUCUUUCAAACAUACCCGCUCCCCUCCCUCAGACACGCACAGAGGACCAGACAAUGAGGCCGUCACUACUUACAGAUAUGAAACAAUGACACAGAUACAGACACAGCCACUACUGACACUGACACUGACACAGCCACUACUGACAAAGACACAACCACUACCGACACAGACACAACCACUACUGACACAGAUACAGACACAGACACAACCAUUACUGACACAGACACAGCCACUACUGAGACAGACACCGACACAAAUACUAAAACAGACAAAGCCACUGACACAGGCUGUUCAGCUAGAGCCUCUGUCUAAUCUAGAUACAGAUUUUCCUCCUCCUCCUCCUCCUGCCCUGGAUGAGGACUGGGAUCAGAACGUAUCAAGCAAUGACCUAUCCCUAUCACAGAUCCAGACCGUACUCCAGGAGCCUGAGCAAGAGUGGUCGGAGCUCAUCUUCAGCAAGCAACCACCAAUCACAGCUUAUUGCCCAAAGAGUCCCACUCCAAUGAACCGAGACCAUUACAAUUACAUGGAAACGACCAUGGUUAGUAGAAGUCCUAUUGUAAAGAGCAAGGACCCCUGUCCCUCCUCAGCCUAUCAGAACCAUGAGAGCAAGGACCCCUGUCCCUCCUCAGCCUAUCAGAACCAUGAGCGCAAGGACCCCUGUCCCUCCUCAGCCUAUCAGAACCAUGAGCGCAAGGACCCCUGUCCCUCCUCAGCCUAUCAGAACCAUGAGCGCAAGGACCCCUGUCCAUCCUCAGCCUAUAAGAACCAUGAGAGCAAGGACCCCUGUCCCUCCUCAGCCUAUCAGAACCACGAGUGCCUCAUUCAGGACCUCAAUGGACACCAGUACCAUCAUAGGUUGAAGACCCAUAGAGAGAGUGUUGACCUCCAGGAGACCAGCCAGGCUUCUCAGAUGGUUGUGAAUCUGAAGGUCAGUGGGUUAGGGAGUAUGAUGCAAGACUCUAUGGACUCUGGCAUCUCUGGUGUCUCCAACUCUGGGAGCUUGAAGCUCAAUGCACCUGAUGUUCUCCAAGAGCCCCAGCCCAUGAGGACUGUGGUGGGGAGGCUAGUGUCUCUGGAGGAGGGGCGCAUGGAGGCUGUGUCCACACCCAGGGAAAAUCCCACAGAAACCCCAGCUCCUGCCCACCCAGAGACAAAAACAACACCCAGAAACAGACACCACCAGACAGAGACAGAACUCGACUCUGAUCCGCUCGACCCCGACCUCACCAUCCAUCCAGACCACCAGCAGUUUGAGGAGGUAGAGGAGGAGCUGGAGGACAUCUGGAACCAUAGCAAUGGCUACAGACAGAGUAUCUCCUCUGACAUCAUGUACCAGCCACACCAAGAGGAGAAGGAGGGGGGAAGUAGCAACACCCCAGGACUGACCACAGACCCCCUCUCACCCCCCCAGGCCCAGCCCCAGGCUACCCCCUACAGGAAGCUGAUAACAACUUCUGCCCCUAACCUUCUGGUGGCUGAAUUCACACUCCCCUCCUCCCUCCAAACCCUACUGGGGUACAACCAGGACCAGAACCAGGACCAGGGCUUUAGCCAAGACCCUAACUCCAGAGAAGAGCUCCCUAUGCUGGCUAACAGAGACAUGAGGUCCUGGGCAGCUUUCCCUAUUCAGGACCAACCCUGGAGGACCACACCACUGGUCAAUGAAACGGCAGCAGAACCAGUCAAGCUGCCGGAAAUGGAGGACCAGAAGAGAUAUAUCUACCAUUAUAGAGAGGAGGAGGAAGAGGAUGAGGAGGAGAAGAUGGAGGACACAGGUUGUCCAAAGGACCCAUCAAUGAGUCUGCUGUCUGUCCACAUGGGUCUGCACGGAAACAAUCAGCGAGCUACAAGUUGUGGCACUCUGGAAGGUGUCAUGGAAAAGCAUGGAGAGAGUCUGGCCACAGGGGGGCGAUGUGGCACUAUGAAUGGGAGUGGGUCUGAGCUGCAGACGAUGGAGGGAACUCUGGAGAGGAAACACAAGCUGCAGCUGGGAGGGAAGAAGGCCAGGUCUCGAGCAUGGAGCUCCCAUCAUGCAGUGCUUUACAAACAGACACUCUGCUUCUACCAAGACAGAAAGGAUACACUGAGGAACUGUGUGUGUGGCCUGUCUCUAACCCUGACGGGAGCAGAAUGUGUCUCAGCCCCAGAGAACACUAAGAAACCACAGUGUUUCAGUCUGCGCUUAAGAGAUGGCUCAGAGUACCUCCUCAACACAGCAAACCGAUUCAUGAUGAAGAAAUGGAUGCUGAAAAUACAAGCCAACAGUGUGCCCAGUGAGCAUGUCUCCUCCAUGACGUCACCCAGCGACCUCUUGGUUCAGGACCACCCCGCCCCCUUCACCACCUCUUUCCUCUCACAAAGUACCAGCAGGGGGACGACCAGAGCCAAGGAGAUAGUUGUCCUGACCAGAGAGACCAGAGAGACUCACCGUCAGAUCCCUCAGUUGCACCCAGAGAAACAGCAGGACCCAACAUCCUCAUCACAUACAGGCCGUCGUGAAGAUAACUAUGACUCCCUGAGACAGAAACUGUGUGGUAGAUCCAGGGAGAACAGCCCUUCCUCCUUGCACUCCUCCAUCUCUCCUUUCUCCCUCCACAACUCGUCCUCCAUCCCUCCAUUCUCCCUCCACUCCCCUGUCUCUCCUCCUUUCUCCUCUGUCUAUAGAGGUGGUCAGGACUGGCUCAGUCAAGUGAACAAGUGUCACUCAUUUACCUCAGCAAGGUACCAGAAUAUUAAACCAGCGUUGCUGCCCCCAGGAGGCAGAGGCCGGGACUACGGAUCAGUGGGUCUGGACUGUGGGUCAAACUACUCCGUGACUAUGAUUAUAGGAGACAAGCAGUCUGCCGCCUCUCCCACUCUCAGUUGUGAUGGUAGUGGUCCAUCUAUCACCAGUCACACUGACCCACAGCGCCCCCUGCUGGAUGGAUGGCAGCACCACUCAUAUCACCAGGACUCUACUACAAGAAGGCAGCUUCACCGGCACCAAGCAAUGUACCACCACGACCAGGAACCAUCUCUGAGGUCCUGCACCGGUCUGCCUCCGCCACGCAAGAAGUCUGUCUUCAACAAGUUCUUUGGGAAGAAAGACUGA
rnacentral:lncRNA from 1 species